rnacentral:rRNA from 1 species
GGUGAUAAACCGGAGGAAGGUGGGGAUGACGUCAAGUCAUCAUGGCCCUUACGAGUAGGGCUACACACGUGCUACAAUGGCGUAUACAAAGAGAAGCGACCUCGCGAGAGCAAGCGGACCUCAUAAAGUACGUCGUAGUCCGGAUUGGAGUCUGCAACUCGACUCCAUGAAGUCGGAAUCGCUAGUAAUCGUAGAUCAGAAUGCUACGGUGAAUACGUUCCCGGGCCUUGUACACACCGCCCGUCACACCAUGGGAGUGGGUUGCAAAAGAAGUAGGUAGCUUAACCUUCGGGAGGGCGCUUACCACUUUGUGAUUCAUGACUGGGGUGAAG